rnacentral:rRNA from 1 species
UACAGAGACUGCAAGCGUUAUUCGGAUUCACUGGGCGUAAAGGGUGCGCAGGCGGCCGUGUGUGUGAGGCGUGAAAGCCUGGAGCUUAACUCCAGAAUUGCACCUCAAACUACACGGCUAGAGCAUUGGAGAGGGUAGCAGAAUUCACGGUGUAGCAGUGAAAUGCGUAGAUAUUGACAGGAACACCAGUGGCGUAAGCGGCUAUCUGGACCGACAUUGACGCUGAGACGCGAAAGCGUGGGGAGCAAACAGG